CUGUUCGAGCGUCAUUAUAACCACUCAAGCCUCGGCUUGGUCUUGGGGUUCCGCGGUCUCGCGGCCCUUAAAAUCAGUGGCGGUGCAUCUGGCUCUAAGCGUAGUAAUUCUCUCGCUAUAGGGUCCCGGUGGUUUCCUGCCAGAACCCCUCCAUUUUUACGGUUGACCUCGGAUCAGGUAGGGAUACCCGCUGAACUUAA
rnacentral:misc_RNA from 1 species